rnacentral:rRNA from 1 species
UACGUAGGGGGCAAGCGUUGUCCGGAAUCAUUGGGCGUAAAGAGCGUGUAGGCGGUCCGGUAAGUCGGUUGUGAAAGUCCAGGGCUCAACCCUGGGAUGCCGAUCGAUACUGUCGGACUAGAGUUCGGAAGAGGCGAGUGGAAUUCCCGGUGUAGCGGUGAAAUGCGCAGAUAUCAGGAAGAACACCCGUGGCGAAAGCGGCUCUCUGGAACGGUACUGACGCUGAGACGCGAAAGCGUGGGGAGCGAACAGG